rnacentral:rRNA from 1 species
AAUGAACGUUGGCGGCGUGGAUUAGGCAUGCAAGUCGCGCGAGAAGUUUCCUUCGGGAGACGGACAGCGGCGGAAGGGAGAGGAAUAAGUAGAAAUCUGCCCUCGGGACGGGGAUAGCGGCGGGAAACUGCCGGUAAUACCCGAUAACAUCUUUGGAUCAAAUGGUGUGAUUCCGCCUGAGGAUGAGUCUACUUCCUAUUAGCUAGUUGGUGUGGUAAUGGCUCACCAAGGCAACGAUGGGUAGCGGGUGUGAGAGCACGAUCCGCCUCACUGGGACUGAGACACUGCCCAGACACCUACGGGAGGCAGCAGUUGGGAAUCUUCGGCAAUGGGCGCAAGCCUGACCGAGCAACGCCGCGUGAGUGAUGAAGGUUUUCGGAUUGUAAAGCUCUGUCUUCCGGGACGAUAAUGACGGUACCGGAGGAGGAAGCCACGGCUAACUACGUG